GGAUCCAGACUUUGAUUAUGGCUCAGGACGAACGCUGGCGGCGCGCCUAACACAUGCAAGUCGAACGAGCGAGAGAGAGCUUGCUUUCUCGAGCGAGUGGCGAACGGGUGAGUAACGCGUGAGGAACCUGCCUCAAAGAGGGGGACAACAGUUGGAAACGACUGCUAAUACCGCAUAAGCCCACGACCCGGCAUCGGGUAGAGGGAAAAGGAGCAAUCCGCUUUGAGAUGGCCUCGCGUCCGAUUAGCUAGUUGGUGAGGUAAUGGCCCACCAAGGCAACGAUCGGUAGCCGGACUGAGAGGUUGAACGGCCACAUUGGGACUGAGACACGGCCCAGACUCCUACGGGAGGCAGCAGUGGGGAAUAUUGCACAAUGGGGGAAACCCUGAUGCAGCGA
rnacentral:rRNA from 1 species